AUGCUGGAGGUAUCAGAAGUGCGAAUGCUGACAUAAGUAACGAUAAAGCGGGUGAAAAGCCCGCUCGCCGGAAGACCAAGGGUUCCUGUCCAACGUUAAUCGGGGCAGGGUGAGUCGACCCCUAAGGCGAGGCCGAAAGGCGUAGUCGAUGGGAAACAGGUUAAUAUUCCUGUACUUGGUGUUACUGCGAAGGGGGGACGGAGAAGGCUAUGUUGGCCGGGCGACGGUUGUCCCGGUUUAAGCGUGUAGGCUGGUUUUCCAGGCAAAUCCGGAAAAUCAAGGCUGAGGCGUGAUGACGAGGCACUACGGUGCUGAAGCAACAAAUGCCCUGCUUCCAGGAAAAGCCUCUAAGCAUCAGGUAACAUCAAAUCGUACCCCAAACCGACACAGGUGGUCAGGUAGAGAAUACCAAGGCGCUUGAGAGAACUCGGGUGAAGGAACUAGGCAAAAUGGUGCCGUAACUUCGGGAGAAGGCACGCUGAUAUGUAGGUGAAGUCCCUCGCGGAUGGAGCUGAAAUCAGUCGAAGAUACCAGCUGGCUGCAACUGUUUAUUAAAAACACAGCACUGUGCAAACACGAAAGUGGACGUAUACGGUGUGACGCCUGCCCGGUGCCGGAAGGUUAAUUGAUGGGGUCAGCGCAAGCGAAGCUCUUGAUCGAAGCCCCGGUAAACGGCGGCCGUAACUAUAACGGUCCUAAGGUAGCGAAAUUCCUUGUCGGGUAAGUUCCGACCUGCACGAAUGGCGUAAUGAUGGCCAGGCUGUCUCCACCCGAGACUCAGUGAAAUUGAACUCGCUGUGAAGAUGCAGUGUACCCGCGGCAAGACGGAAAGACCCCGUGAACCUUUACUAUAGCUUGACACUGAACAUUGAGCCUUGAUGUGUAGGAUAGGUGGGAGGCUUGGAAGUGUGGACGCCAGUCUGCAUGGAGCCGACCUUGAAAUACCACCCUUUAAUGUUUGAUGUUCUAACGUUGACCCGUAAUCCGGGUUGCGGACAGUGUCUGGUGGGUAGUUUGACUGGGGCGGUCUCCUCCUAAAGAGUAACGGAGGAGCACGAAGGUUGGCUAAUCCUGGUCGGACAUCAGGAGGUUAGUGCAAUGGCAUAAGCCAGCUUGACUGCGAGCGUGACGGCGCGAGCAGGUGCGAAAGCAGGUCAUAGUGAUCCGGUGGUUCUGAAUGGAAGGGCCAUCGCUCAACGGAUAAAAGGUACUCCGGGGAUAACAGGCUGAUACCGCCCAAGAGUUCAUAUCGACGGCGGUGUUUGGCACCUCGAUGUCGGCUCAUCACAUCCUGGGGCUGAAGUAGGUCCCAAGGGUAUGGCUGUUCGCCAUUUAAAGUGGUACGCGAGCUGGGUUUAGAACGUCGUGAGACAGUUCGGUCCCUAUCUGCCGUGGGCGCUGGAGAACUGAGGGGGGCUGCUCCUAGUACGAGAGGACCGGAGUGGACGCAUCACUGGUGUUCGGGUUGUCAUGCCAAUGGCACUGCCCGGUAGCUAAAUGCGGAAGAGAUAAGUGCUGAAAGCAUCUAAGCACGAAACUUGCCCCGAGAUGAGUUCUCCCUGACUCCUUGA
rnacentral:rRNA from 1 species